rnacentral:rRNA from 1 species
GGGGAGUGGCAGACGGGUGAGUAACGCGUGGGAAUGCUACCCUUUGGUACGGGAUAGCUCCGGGAAACUGGAAUUAAUACCGUAUGUGGCUUGAGAGCGAAAGAUUUAUCGCCAAAGGAUGAGCCCGCGUUGGAUUAGCUAGUUGGUGGGGUAAAGGCCUACCAAGGCGACGAUCCAUAGCUGGUCUGAGAGGAUGACCAGCCACAUUGGGACUGAGACACGGCCCAAACUCCUACGGGAGGCAGCAGUGGGGAAUAUUGGACAAUGGGCGCAAGCCUGAUCCAGCCAUGCCGCGUGAGUGAUGAAGGUCUUAGGAUUGUAAAGCUCUUUCACCGGGGACGAUAAUGACGGUACCCGGAGAAGAAGCCCCGGCUAACUUCGUGCCAGCAGCCGCGGUAAUACGAAGGGGGCUAGCGUUGUUCGGAAUUACUGGGCGUAAAGCGCACGUAGGCGGAUAUUUAAGUCAGGGGUGAAAUCCCGGGGCUCAACCCCGGAACUGCCUUUGAUACUGGGUAUCUUGAGUGUGGUAGAGGUCGGUGGAAUUGCGAGUGUAGAGGUGAAAUUCGUAGAUAUUCGCAGGAACACCAGUGGCGAAGGCGGCCGACUGGACCACAACUGACGCUGAGGUGCGAAAGCGUGGGGAGCAAACAGGAUUAGA